rnacentral:rRNA from 1 species
UGGGGAAUUUUGGACAAUGGGCGAAAGCCUGAUCCAGCAAUGCCGCGUGUGUGAAGAAGGCCUUCGGGUUGUAAAGCACUUUUGUCCGGAAAGAAAUCCUUGGCUCUAAUACAGUCGGGGGAUGACGGUACCGGAAGAAUAAGCACCGGCUAACUACGUGCCAGCAGCCGCGGUAAUACGUAGGGUGCAAGCGUUAAUCGGAAUUACUGGGCGUAAAGCGUGCGCAGGCGGUUUGCUAAGACCGAUGUGAAAUCCCCGGGCUCAACCUGGGAACUGCAUUGGUGACUGGCAGGCUAGAGUAUGGCAGAGGGGGGUAGAAUUCCACGUGUAGCAGUGAAAUGCGUAGAGAUGUGGAGGAAUACCGAUGGCGAAGGCAGCCCCCUGGGCCAAUACUGACGCUCAUGCACGAAAGCGUGGGGAGCAAACAGGAUUAGAUACCCUGGUAGUCCACGCCCUAAACGAUGUCAACUAGUUGUUGGGGAUUCAUUCCUUAGUAACGUAGCUAACGCGUGAAGUUGACCGCCUGGGGAGUACGGUCGCAAGAUUAAACUCAAGGAAUUGACGGGGUCAUAGCUGUUUCCU